rnacentral:rRNA from 1 species
AUUGAACGCUGGCGGCAUGCCUAACACAUGCAAGUCGAGCGAAGCGGCGGACGGGUGAGUAAUGCCUAGGAAUCUGCCUGGUAGUGGGGGAUAACGUCCGGAAACGGGCGCUAAUCCCGCAUCCUAUCAUAUGAGCCUAGGUCGUAUUAGCUAGUUGGUGGGUUAAAGGCCUACCAGGGCGACGAUCCGGAACUGGUCUGCGAGGAUGAUCAGUCACACUGGAACUGAGAGACGGUCAUGCAGCCUACGGUAGUCAGCAGUGGGGAAUAUGGGACAAUGGGCGAAAGGCUGAUACAGCCAUGCCGCGUGUAUGAAGAAGGCCUGCGGGUUGUAAAGUACUUUCAGUGAGGAGGGGUUACGCGCAGAAGAAGCACCGGCUAACUCCGUGCCAGCAGCCGCGGUAAUAC